GGUUGAUCCUGCCAGUAGUCAUAUGCUUGUCUCAAAGAUUAAGCCAUGCAUGUCUAAGUAUAAGCUUUUAUACGGUGAAACUGCGAAUGGCUCAUUAAAACAGUUAUAGUUUAUUUGAUGGUCACUUUUACAUGGAUAACCAUGGUAAUUCUAUGGCUAAUACAUGCGCACUCGCCUCCUUCUCUGGAGGGGCUGUGUUUAUUAGAUACAAAACCAACCCACUUUGUGGAGUCUGGGUGAUUCAUAGUAACCGAACGGAUCGCAGUUGGCUUCGGCCCGCGAUAUAUCUUUC
rnacentral:rRNA from 1 species